rnacentral:rRNA from 27 species
UUUGGUUAAGUUAGAAAGGGCGCACGGUGGAUGCCUUGACACUAGGAGUCGAUGAAGGACGGGACUAACGCCGAUAUGCUUCGGGGAGCUGUAAGUAAGCUUUGAUCCGAAGAUUUCCGAAUGGGGAAACCCACCAUACGUAAUGGUAUGGUAUCCUUAUCUGAAUACAUAGGGUAAGGAAGACAGACCCAGGGAACUGAAACAUCUAAGUACCUGGAGGAAGAGAAAGCAAAUGCGAUUUCCUGAGUAGCGGCGAGCGAAACGGAACAUAGCCCAAACCAAGAGGCUUGCCUCUUGGGGUUGUAGGACAUUCUAUACGGAGUUACAAAGGAACGAGGUAGACGAAGCGACCUGGAAAGGUCCGUCGUAGAGGGUAACAACCCCGUAGUCGAAACUUCGUUCUCUCUUGAAUGUAUCCUGAGUACGGCGGAACACGUGAAAUUCCGUCGGAAUCUGGGAGGACCAUCUCCCAAGGCUAAAUACUCCCUAGUGAUCGAUAGUGAACCAGUACCGUGAGGGAAAGGUGAAAAGCACCCCGGAAGGGGAGUGAAAGAGAUCCUGAAACCGUGUGCCUACAAAUAGUCAGAGCCCGUUAACGGGUGAUGGCGUGCCUUUUGUAGAAUGAACCGGCGAGUUACGAUCCCGUGCGAGGUUAAGCUGAAGAGGCGGAGCCGCAGCGAAAGCGAGUCUGAAUAGGGCGUUUAGUACGUGGUCGUAGACCCGAAACCAGGUGAUCUACCCAUGUCCAGGGUGAAGUUCAGGUAACACUGAAUGGAGGCCCGAACCCACGCACGUUGAAAAGUGCGGGGAUGAGGUGUGGGUAGCGGAGAAAUUCCAAUCGAACCUGGAGAUAGCUGGUUCUCCCCGAAAUAGCUUUAGGGCUAGCCUUAAGUGUAAGAGUCUUGGAGGUAGAGCACUGAUUGGACUAGGGGUCCUCAUCGGAUUACCGAAUUCAGUCAAACUCCGAAUGCCAAUGACUUAUCCUUAGGAGUCAGACUGCGAGUGAUAAGAUCCGUAGUCAAAAGGGAAACAGCCCAGACCGCCAGCUAAGGUCCCAAAGUGUGUAUUAAGUGGAAAAGGAUGUGGAGUUGCUUAGACAACUAGGAUGUUGGCUUAGAAGCAGCCACCAUUUAAAGAGUGCGUAAUAGCUCACUAGUCGAGUGACUCUGCGCCGAAAAUGUACCGGGGCUAAAUACACCACCGAAGCUGCGGAUUGAUACCAAUGGUAUCAGUGGUAGGGGAGCGUUCUAAGGACAGUGAAGUCAGACCGGAAGGACUGGUGGAGUGCUUAGAAGUGAGAAUGCCGGUAUGAGUAGCGAAAGACGGGUGAGAAUCCCGUCCACCGAAUGCCUAAGGUUUCCUGAGGAAGGCUCGUCCGCUCAGGGUUAGUCAGGACCUAAGCCGAGGCCGACAGGCGUAGGCGAUGGACAACAGGUUGAUAUUCCUGUACCACCUCUUUAUCGUUUGAGCAAUGGAGGGACGCAGAAGGAUAGAAGAAGCGUGCGAUUGGUUGUGCACGUCCAAGCAGUUAGGCUGAUAAGUAGGCAAAUCCGCUUAUCGUGAAGGCUGAGCUGUGAUGGGGAAGCUCCUUAUGGAGCGAAGUCUUUGAUUCCCCGCUGCCAAGAAAAGCUUCUAGCGAGAUAAAAGGUGCCUGUACCGCAAACCGACACAGGUAGGCGAGGAGAGAAUCCUAAGGUGUGCGAGAGAACUCUGGUUAAGGAACUCGGCAAAAUGACCCCGUAACUUCGGGAGAAGGGGUGCUUUCUUAACGGAAAGCCGCAGUGAAUAGGCCCAAGCGACUGUUUAGCAAAAACACAGCUCUCUGCGAAGCCGUAAGGCGAAGUAUAGGGGGUGACACCUGCCCGGUGCUGGAAGGUUAAGGAGAGGGGUUAGCGUAAGCGAAGCUCUGAACUGAAGCCCCAGUAAACGGCGGCCGUAACUAUAACGGUCCUAAGGUAGCGAAAUUCCUUGUCGGGUAAGUUCCGACCCGCACGAAAGGUGUAACGAUUUGGGCACUGUCUCAACCAGAGACUCGGUGAAAUUAUAGUACCUGUGAAGAUGCAGGUUACCCGCGACAGGACGGAAAGACCCCGUGGAGCUUUACUGUAGCCUGAUAUUGAAUUUUGGUACAGUUUGUACAGGAUAGGCGGGAGCCUUUGAAACCGGAGCGCUAGCUUCGGUGGAGGCGCUGGUGGGAUACCGCCCUGACUGUAUUGAAAUUCUAACCUACGGGUCUUAUCGACCCGGGAGACAGUGUCAGGUGGGCAGUUUGACUGGGGCGGUCGCCUCCUAAAGUGUAACGGAGGCGCCCAAAGGUUCCCUCAGAAUGGUUGGAAAUCAUUCGUAGAGUGCAAAGGCAUAAGGGAGCUUGACUGCGAGACCUACAAGUCGAGCAGGGACGAAAGUCGGGCUUAGUGAUCCGGUGGUUCCGCAUGGAAGGGCCAUCGCUCAACGGAUAAAAGCUACCCCGGGGAUAACAGGCUUAUCUCCCCCAAGAGUCCACAUCGACGGGGAGGUUUGGCACCUCGAUGUCGGCUCAUCGCAUCCUGGGGCUGUAGUCGGUCCCAAGGGUUGGGCUGUUCGCCCAUUAAAGCGGUACGCGAGCUGGGUUCAGAACGUCGUGAGACAGUUCGGUCCCUAUCCGUCGUGGGCGUAGGAAAUUUGAGAGGAGCUGUCCUUAGUACGAGAGGACCGGGAUGGACGCACCGCUGGUGUACCAGUUGUUCUGCCAAGGGCAUAGCUGGGUAGCUAUGUGCGGAAGGGAUAAGUGCUGAAAGCAUCUAAGCAUGAAGCCCCCCUCAAGAUGAGAUUUCCCAUAGCGUAAGCUAGUAAGAUCCCUGAAAGAUGAUCAGGUUGAUAGGUUCGAGGUGGAAGCAUGGUGACAUGUGGAGCUGACGAAUACUAAUAGAUCGAGGACUUAACCAUAUAA